rnacentral:rRNA from 2 species
GGUUGUAGCUGGCUUCUAGGAGC